GUAACCAGGGGAGAUUCACUUCCUGUCUUGUCCAUCUCCAGGGAUCACUCCCCUGCUGCUCUCCAGCAGCCAAGCUCAGGUGAGCUCCAUUUUUACCCAAGAUGUGACCCUCUCUUUGGUUGGGAAGGAGAAAGAUAAAACAACACAUUUGCUUCAGCCUGGAAUAUUUGCUUUUGGUGCUUAGAGGCAGAGACAAGAAAUGGGCACUCAGGGAGUCACACUGGUAGUUGCACACUGUAUCUACAGAGGGCGUGUCUCAUCUGUACUCUGCUGGGUUACAGGAUGUCAGGAGGUAUUUGUGUCCACCUGAGAAUUCCGUUUAUUACCUUCCAUUUAACAGACAAUGUCUUUCCUUUCUGCAGUUGAUUUUGCUAGAGAGGCAAUUCAUAAGGUGAAGUCCUGUUCAUAGUAUGACUUGUUUUCUCACUAUCCCCUUCCAUUUUUAGUAACUCCUUGGUCUAUUUGGUGUCUUUAAAAAAAAGAAGUUGGUAAUGAAGACUUCUUUAAAUAUGGAAAUGUGUGCUCUUUUAUGGCAUAGAUAUGAAAUCCCUUCCUGUGGUAAUAAUUAGGUUAUUCCCAGAAGCACAGGGUCAUUCUUUUUUUUUUUUUUUGAGAUGGAGUCUCGCUGUGUCGCCCAGGCUGGAGUGCAGUGGUGUGAUCUCAGCCCACUGCAAGCUCCACCUCCCGGGUUCACGCCAUUCUCCUGCCUUAGCCUCCCAAGUAGCCGGGACUACAGGAGCCCGCCACCAUGCCUAGCUAAUUUUUUGUAUUUUUUUUUUUCAGUAGAGACGGGGUUUUACUGUGUUAGCCAGGAUGAUCUCGAUCUCUUGACCUCGUGAUCCGCCCACCUCGGCCUCCCAAAGUACUGGGAUUACAAGCAUGAGCCACCGCGCCCAGCCGCACAGGGUCAUUCUUUAAAUAAAAGCUUUCCUGUUUAAAGCUUUUCAAAGGAGCAGACCACCUUGAAGAUUCCCCCUAGGGUUGAUAGGUGUCUAAUUCCUUUUAUAAAAUUAUUAUUGUUUUCAUUUUAAAGCUUUGGCUAUAAAGUCAGAAAUGUCCUAAAUAACAAAAUAUUUCAUAUUUAAUUUAAAGAAAAGUAAAGAGAAGAAAAAUGAAAACC
rnacentral:lncRNA from 10 species